rnacentral:rRNA from 1 species
GAGUUUGAUCGUGGCUCAGAUUGAACGCUGGCGGCAUGCCUUACACAUGCAAGUCGAACGGCAGCACGGGAGCUUGCUCCUGGUGGCGAGUGGCGAACGGGUGAGUAAUGCAUCGGAACGUAUCCUGGAGUGGGGGAUAACGUAGCGAAAGUUACGCUAAUACCGCAUAUUCUGUGAGCAGGAAAGCGGGGGACCUUCGGGCCUCGCGCUCUUGGAGCGGCCGAUGUCGGAUUAGCUAGUUAGUGAGGUAAAGGCUCACCAAGGCGACGAUCCGUAGCAGGUCUGAGAGGAUGAUCUGCACACUGGAACUGAGACACGGUCCAGACUCCUACGGAGGCAGCAGUGGGAUUUGGACAAUGGGGCAACCCUGAUCCAGCCAUGCCGCGUGAGUGAAGAAGGCCUCGG